rnacentral:sRNA from 1 species
AAAACCUAAAGUAAUAUUUCCUUGUUUGAAGAUACAAAGUCAAAGACUCAUACGGACUUCGGCUACACCAUCAAAACUUUGUGAGGCAAUAAGAAGCUUCGUUAGUUUUUUGGAGUCAAAUAUGACUAGAUGUCAUGUGUAUGAUUAAGUAUAAGAACUAGAACCAUAACUGAUUCCCAAAAGCUAAAGUAAUGUUUCCUUGUUAGAAGAUAGAAAGCUAAAAACUCAUACGGACUUCGGCUAAGCCAUCAAAAUUUUGAGAAGCAAUAAGAAGCUUGGUUAGUGUUUUGGAGUCAAAUAUGACUAGAUGUCAUGUGUAUGAUUGAGUAUAAGAACUAGAACCGCAACCGUUUCCCAAAAGCUAAAGUAGUGUUUCCUUGUUAGAAGCUACAAAGCCAAAGACUCAUACGGACUUCGGCUACACCAUCAAAGUUUUAAGAAGCAAUAAGAAGCUUGGUUAGUAUUUUGGAGUCAAAUAAC